UACGAAGGGGGCUAGCGUUGCUCGGAAUCACUGGGCGUAAAGGGUGCGUAGGCGGGUCUUUAAGUCAGGGGUGAAAUCCUGGAGCUCAACUCCAGAACUGCCUUUGAUACUGAGGAUCUUGAGUUCGGGAGAGGUGAGUGGAACUGCGAGUGUAGAGGUGAAAUUCGUAGAUAUUCGCAAGAACACCAGUGGCGAAGGCGGCUCACUGGCCCGAUACUGACGCUGAGGCCCGAAAGCGCGGGGAGCAAACAGG
rnacentral:rRNA from 1 species